rnacentral:rRNA from 1 species
GACAGAGGGUGCAAACGUUGUUCGGAUUUACUGGGCGUAAAGCGUGUGUAGGCGGCUUUGCAAGUCGGAUGUGAAAUCCCACGGCUCAACCGUGGAAGUGCAUUCGAAACUGCGAAGCUUGAGUAUGGAAGAGGGUCGCGGAAUUCCCGGUGUAGAGGUGAAAUUCGUAGAUAUCGGGAGGAACACCAGUGGCGAAGGCGGCGACCUGGGCCAAUACUGACGCUGAGGUGCGAAAGCGUGGGGAGCAAACAGG